GACGAACGCUGGCGGCGUGCUUAACACAUGCAAGUCGAACGGUAAGGCCCUUCGGGGUACACGAGUGGCGAACGGGUGAGUAACACGUGGGUGAUCUGCCCUGCACUUCGGGGUAAGCCUGGGAAACUGGGUCUAAUACCGGAUAGGACCACUGCCUGCAUGGGUGGUGGUGGAAAGCUUUUGCGGUGUGGGAUGGGCCCGCGGCCUAUCAGAUUGUUGGUGGGGUGAUGGCCUACCAAGGCGACGACGGGUAGCCGGCCUGAGAGGGUGACCGGCCACACUGGGACUGAGAUACGGCCCAGACUCCUACGGGAGGCAGCAGUGGGGAAUAUUGCACAAUGGGCGCAAGCCUGAUGCAGCGACGCCGCGUGAGGGAUGACGGCCUUCGGGUUGUAAACCUCUUUCAGCACCGACGAAGCGCAAGUGACGGUAGGUGCAGAAGAAGGACCGGCCAACUACGUGCCAGCCGCCGCAGUAA
rnacentral:rRNA from 1 species